UUUGCAUGUCAAAAAUAAUAGUGUUUUAAAAACACUUUUUUCCUGGAAAGCCAGGGAACUUAUGGCCCUGAGUGCCUGCAUAAUGCUCACAUGAGCCUUAGUAUCAGUGCUGUGUUCACCACUAAAGGUUUAUGGAUUAUUUGGGCCAAACUGGGUCUUCAAACACGAGAACCAAAGGAAGAGUGUAAUGGAAUGUUUGUACCCCAGUUCUGACUCCCUUUGAAGCACCCAGAGAAGUCACUCAGCAGAAGGUCUGCAACUGAAAGCAUGGGGCAUUCCAGGAUGGAAGCCUAAGAGCCAUGGCUUGUGUUGCAAUGCUUUUACACCAUUUUCUUGUCCUGGCAAUUGGCACUACGUGACACCCCCACAAGCUACACCUCUCCUACAGUGUAAAUUUCUCUGCUCCUGGCAGAAACGGGGAAUAGAUUUGUGAAGGGAACCACAGCUAAUCAGCACACAGAUGCAGGUUAACCCUGCUUUUAUAAUAUCUAUGUGCACCAGUUUGGGGGUAGUGAGAAAGGGGCUAUUUGGUAUAUGGCCUCUUAUGGGGAAGAGAGAAUGCAAAAAUUAAACAUAGGGAAGUAAUAGAAGAUCAGAGAAGGUGCUGCCUCAAUUUAAUGUCAAUGUCCAAAGAAAAUACAAUCAAUGUUUUUAGUGUGCAACUACAAAACAUGUAUAUUAUGAUUUGACUGAAUCAAACUGAAGUGUCAUUGAAAUAAGUUAAAUUGUCUAGAAGACCUAACACUUGCAAGGUAAGUGUUUAAAUAACUAUGGGAUAACAAAUCAUUUUUUUAUUUAUCUAGUGUAAUGUUUGUAUAACUACGGUUAGUUGAAUAAUAUAUAAUUAUGGUAAGAUAAACGGUGUAGCAUCUGCAAACAAGGAAGUGAGAUGCUGCUUUGCUAGAAUGAAUAUUUCAGACUAAAUUUGGCAGUGAUGUAAAUGAAUCGUCAGAAAAUGGGUGCAUACAAAGUGUUAUUUACACUCCCAUUUGAUGUCCUUAAUGUGGGUCAGGAAAAGCAACUAAUGGGAGUCUGUGUGUUUUAGGGAGAAUCCUUUAACUGAGGCUAUGAUUACACUGUCCCAUGGUUCAGACUUUGAGGGCGUGAACAGCAGUGCACACCAAAGUGCUGUGCGAUAACUCCCCUAUGUGGACACUGUGGACACAAACUAAAAGGUUCUUAGUUUGCAUUAAUGUCUUUCUGUUUGAAGAGGACUACAUUAAUGUGAAAUGGGAAGUUGAUACCUGAAAGUACACGCCUGAAAUGGCCACACAGGAGAGUUACAGAGUGCAGCACUUUGGUGUGCACUUCUGUUCGCGUCCUUGUAGUCCAAACUGCAGGGCAGCAUAGAUAAGCCUUAGUUGCUCUUCCUGCUGCAUUCCUCCUAACCCACUUUCCCCUGCUAUGUAACUUUUUGCACCAUUCACAUCGCUGAAUUCAUGCUAGAUACAUCUGUGAUAGUGGCACCUGCAUAUACCAGUUCUGAGGUUUGCUUUUAAUCUUAAAACAGGUUCUUAUUCUGGGGAACAAAAUGUCUUUUUUCUAGAGACUGUUCUAUUCAAGGUAUUGGAUUGGAACCAUAUCUUUUGUAAAAAAAAAAAAAAAUAAUAAUAAUUUUUUAAAAAUCUAGACUGUGGCUCAUCUAUAACAUUUGUCAUUUAUAUUUUCUGCAUUCUUUCUUGGCUAAAAAAUGGAUCUAUCUUCUGCGUAUUCCUUGUAUAAACUGAAGAUGGCAGAUGUCUUUUGUGCAAAUGCCAAUUCCUGUACUAAUGUGUCUUAGCAGUACAGCUACUGCACUACUGCAUUCUUGCAUAAGAUGGCAAUCCAGACCACAGCUUGGAUUUCAAGAAGAAAUUUAACACCAAUCAUAAGAAAUUUCACUCCAAACCAAAUGAUGCAACAACUCCAGAUUUUGUGUGAUUAUGUGAAAGAGGAGAUUGCUGAUUUACUGUCUUUAAAAGUUUCCACUUAGCUGGUGAUUUAACGAUUACUAAAGAAGCAUGAAACUGCUCUCUUGACUGUGUGCUGACAUUUGUGACAGGAGU